UACGGGGGGGGCAAGCGUUGUUCGGAAUUACUGGGCGUAAAGGGCUCGUAGGCGGCCAACUAAGUCAGACGUGAAAUCCCUCGGCUUAACCGGGGAACUGCGUCUGAUACUGGAUGGCUCGAGUUUGGGAGAGGGAUGCGGAAUUCCAGGUGUAGCGGUGAAAUGCGUAGAUAUUCGGAAGAACACCGGUGGCGAAGGCGACCUUCUGGGCCGCAACUGACGCUGAGGCACGAAAGCCUGGGGAGCGAACGGG
rnacentral:rRNA from 1 species